AGGCGUGUGAGGAGUGAAAGUUCGAGCGAAAAUGCCUCUGGGGUCGAAACACGGAAAGACUCCCAGGGGCUUUUCUUA
rnacentral:sRNA from 1 species